UGAUCGAUCAGGCUGGCACAUGGG
rnacentral:siRNA from 1 species